GAUGAACGCUGGCGGCGUGCCUAAUACAUGCAAGUCGAGCGAACGGACCAUAAGCUUGCUUCUCUGAUGUUAGCGGCGGACGGGUGAGUAACACGUGUAUCCCCUACCUAUAAGACUGGGAUAACUUCGGGAAUCCGGCUCUAACACCGGAUAAUCUUUUGCACCGUAUGGUUCAAAAGUGAAAGACGGUCUUGCUGUCACUUCUAGAUGGAUCCGCGCUGCAUUAGCUAGUUGGUAAGGUCACGGCGUAGCAAGGCGAGGAUGCCUAGCCGACGUGAGAGGGGGAUAGGCCACACGGGAGCGUGGACGCGGACCAGGCGCCUGAGGGAGGCAGCAGUAUGGAAUCUGCCGCAGUGGGCGAGAGCCUGACGGAGCGGCGCCGCGUGAGUGGCGAAGGUCUUCGGAUCGGAAAGCUCGGUUAUGAGUGAAGAACAGAUUUGGAAGGAACUGUGGACAUCUUGACGGUACCGAGUAAGAAAGCCACGGCUAACUACGUG
rnacentral:rRNA from 1 species